UACGUAGGUGACAAGCGUUGUCCGGAUUUACUGGGCGUAAAGAGCGCGCAGGCGGUCGUUCAAGUCGAGUGUGAAAGCCCCCGGCUCAACUGGGGAGGGUCAUUCGAUACUGAUCGACUCGAAGGCAGGAGAGGGAAGUGGAAUUCCCGGUGUAGUGGUGAAAUGCGUAGAUAUCGGGAGGAACACCAGUGGCGAAAGCGGCUCUCUGGGACGGUACUGACGCUGAGACGCGAAAGCGUGGGAGCAAACAGGG
rnacentral:rRNA from 1 species